GGGAGCAGUGAGGAAUAUUGGUCAAAGGAGGCAGCUCUCAACCAGCCAUGCCGAGUACAGCAUGACGGUCGUCUGGAUUGUAAAGCACGUUCUGGGACAGGAAGGCGGUGAAACAAUUUUCCUUUUCGUAACUUGUCGGUACCCGCUAAGAAUCACGAUCGACUAACUCCCCGCCAGCAGCCGCGGUAAUAGGGAGGAURCGAGCGUUAAUCAGGAAUUAUUGGGUUUAAAGGGUUCGUAGGUGGUUAAAUAAGUCAGUGGUGAAAUUUCCUAGAUUAAGUAGGGCACUUCCAUUCGAAACUGGCGUUUUACAUUAAUAGUAUAGGAAGUAAGAAGAACAGGUGGAGCGGCGAAGAAAUGCAUAUAGAUAUGGACGAAGACUGCCAAUGAAGAAGGCCCCUUGGUCAGUAAUUAUCGAUCACGAUGAAAGAAAGCGUGGGCAGCGAACAGGAUUACAUACCGUAGUAGUCCACGCUGUAAAUGUUGUCAAUUGGAGGUUGUGGCUCUUAGGAGUGAGU
rnacentral:rRNA from 1 species